rnacentral:lncRNA from 1 species
AAAAAAGAAAAAGAAAGUAUUCUGGUGGGUGACAAAUGCUUGCCGAUAUAGAAGAUUGUUGAGAUAGCAAUACUGAUGGUAAAUGGGGUUCCAAAAGUUCAUGAAUCUACUGAUUCUCCUGCAAUGCAGAUUGACAACAUCACUUAUGAGAACCAUACUGUAAAAUUACACUUGUUAAAUAUCAUAAUUUCAACGAAGGCAAAAGGAAAAUAUUGCAGAAAAGAAAACAUAAUCAGGUUAACAAAAUAUCCCACCCUGUAGUUAUCCAAGAGAAAAUAGCACAACCAGUUCUGUUCUUGGAAACUCAUAAGAAAAUAAAUACCUCAGACUAACAUCACAUGAUUAAGCCAAAACCGUAGCAGUAAAUAUCAGACGAACCUUAAAUAGCACAACUAGAAGGCGUUCAAAUGCACGACAUCUCAUGCAUGUUUCUUCACUCCAGUCAAAUUGACAUAGGAUAUUACAGAUCUGACAUGCAUGAACUGAUGAAAGUGACCAAUAACACCAAGUCAUUGUCAAAACAAGUGGCAUUAGUCAGUUCAAUAAUUUUCAGGUAAACUAUUUUUCCUCUACAACAUACAAACUACUGUUGCAAUGCUACAUCUCAAUAUUCAUAGCAUACGACAAGCCAUUGUUUACUGUGAAGGCUUUGCUGCAAUACUAGGCUAUGGACGUUCUGAUAUUAAAACUGAAAGCAAGGCCAGAUAAUUAUAUUUGGCUUCCUAAUUGUGUUAGCUGAUAAUAUGGUUAUAGAAUUGGAAACAAUAAAUGCAACCACAGAUUAGAUCAUCGGGAACUUUUUCCAAACGAAAUAACAGAACAUGGGGAAUGGAUCUAAAUAAAUUAAGAAACAAGAAUUAAAGAAAGCAGGAUAAAAUGAUAAAAAGUUCUACCAACAAAGAAAUCUGAAUCAAUGGUUAUAAGAUAGGCAGCCUUGAGCCCAUGUUCACACCUAGCAUAUUCUUGUUCUGAAAACUCGCAUCUGAUUAAUACAUUCUUUGUAGAUUUUGGACUAUUCAGUCAUCU